GCGCCAGUAGCUCAACUGGACAGAGCGUUGGCCUCCGGAGCCAAAGGUUAUGGGUUCGAGUCCCCUCUGGCGUA
rnacentral:tRNA from 1 species